CCUGGCUCAGAUUAACGCGGCGGCAGGCCUAACACAUGCAAGUCGAGCGGAAACGAGUUAUCUGAACCUUCGGGGAACGAUAACGGCGUCGAGCGGCGGACGGGUGAGUAAUGCCUAGGAAAUUGCCUUGAUGUGGGGGAUAACCAUUGGAAACGAUGGCUAAUACCGCAUAAUGCCUACGGGCCAAAGAGGGGGACCUUCGGGCCUCUCGCGUCAAGAUAUGCCUAGGUGGGAUUAGCUAGUUGGUGAGGUAAUGGCUCACCAAGGCGACGAUCCCUAGCUGGUCUGAGAGGAUGAUCAGCCACACUGGAACUGAGACACGGUCCAGACUCCUACGGGAGGCAGCAGUGGGGAAUAUUGCACAAUGGGCGAAAGCCUGAUGCAGCCAUGCCGCGUGUAUGAAGAAGGCCUUCGGGUUGUAAAGUACUUUCAGUUGUGAGGAAGGGGGUGUCGUUAAUAGCGGCAUCUCUUGACGUUAGCAACAGAAGAAGCACCGGCUAACUCCGUGCCAGCAGCCGCGGUAAUACGGAGGGUGCGAGCGUUAAUCGGAAUUACUGGGCGUAAAGCGCAUGCAGGUGGUUCAUUAAGUCAGAUGUGAAAGCCCGGGGCUCAACCUCGGAACUGCAUUUGAAACUGGUGAACUAGAGUACUGUAGAGGGGGGUAGAAUUUCAGGUGUAGCGGUGAAAUGCGUAGAGAUCUGAAGGAAUACCAGUGGCGAAGGCGGCCCCCUGGACAGAUACUGACACUCAGAUGCG
rnacentral:rRNA from 1 species